GGACCCUGAUCAGCCAUCCCGCGUGUAUGAUGAAGGCCUUCGGGUUGUAAAGUACUUUUGGCAGAGAAGAAAAGGUAUCUCCUAAUACGGGAUACUGCUGACGGUAUCUGCAGAAUAAGCACCGGCUAACUACGUGCCAGCAGCCGCGGUAAUACGUAGGGUGCAAGCGUUAAUCGGAAUUACUGGGCGUAAAGCGUGUGUAGGCGGUUCGGAAAGAAAGAUGUGAAAUCCCAGGGCUCAACCUUGGAACUGCAUUUUUAACUGCCGAGCUAGAGUAUGUCAGAGGGGGGUAGAAUUCCACGUGUAGCAGUGAAAUGCGUAGAUAUGUGGAGGAAUACCGAUGGCGAAGGCAGCCCCCUGGGAUAAUACUGACGCUCAGACACGAAAGCGUGGGGAGCAAACAGGAUUAGAUACCCUGGUAGUCCACGCCCUAAACGAUGUCAACUAGCUGUUGGGGCCGUUAGGCCUUAGUAGCGCAGCUAACGCGUGAAGUUGACCGCCUGGGGAGUACGGUCGCAAGAUUAAAACUCAAAGGAAUUGACGGGGACCCGCACAAGCGGUGGAUGAUGUGGAUUAAUUCGAUGCAACGCGAAAAACCUUACCUACCCUUGACAUGUCUGGAAAGCCGAAGAGAUUUGGCCGUGCUCGCAAGAGAACCGGAACACAGGUGCUGCAUGGCUGUCGUCAGCUCGUGUCGUGAGAUGUUGGGUUAAGUCCCGCAACGAGCGCAACCCUUGUCAUUAGUUGCUACGCAAGAGCACUCUAAUGAGACUGCCGGUGACAAACCGGAGGAAGGUGGGGAUGACGUCAAGUCCUCAUGGCCCUUAUGGGUAGGGCUUCACACGUCAUACAAUGGUCGGGACAGAGGGUCGCCAACCCGCGAGGGGGAGCCAAUCUCAGAAACCCGAUCGUAGUCCGGAUCGCAGUCUGCAACUCGACUGCGUGAAGUCGGAAUCGCUAGUAAUCGCGGAUCAGAUGUCGCGGUGAAUACGUUCCCGGGUCUGUACACACCGCCCGU
rnacentral:rRNA from 1 species